rnacentral:rRNA from 1 species
AUUGAACGCUGGCGGCAUGCUUUACACAUGCAAGUCGAGCGGCAGCGCGGGGGCAACCCUGGCGGCGAGCGGCGAACGGGUGAGGAAUACAUCGGAACGUACCCCGGAGUGGGGGAUAACGCCGCGAAAGCGGCGCUAAUACCGCAUAUGCUCUGAGGAGGAAAGUGGGGGACCUGCAAGGGCCUCACGCUCUGGGAGCGGCCGAUGUCCGAUUAGCUAGUUGGUGGGGUAAGGCCCACCAAGGCGACGAUCGGUAGCUGGUCUGAGAGGAUGAUCAGCCACACUGGGACUGAGACACGGCCCAGAC